CUAGGCACGAUCGUGGAAGGGGAAACGCAGAGAGAGGGGUGAAGGGGGUGGGGCGGCGGCGUGAGGGGAGGUCGGUCGUCGGGGGAGGCGACUCGCCGGAGGGGAUCGAGCGCCGGAGAGGGAGAUCCAGUCGGCCGCCGAGGGGGGGAAAGCCUUCCUCUUUCCUUCGGUGAAGACCCUCCAUUUCUCCGCCGAUUCCUCGCCGGAAAGGCCGCCGGAGCACCCAUCGGACCGAGGGGAAGAGUCAGCGGUGCCAGGAGGUUUUGAUCAGGGGACUCAGCACCCCAGCUCGUAGGUUGUGAUCCAGAUCUGUAUUUGAGUCUGUCUACAAUUUCGAGUUGCAGGAUGCAUAGUUUUGGAUGGGAUGGGCGCAGAGUGCGAGCACCAGAGUCAUUAGUUAGUUAGUUGUUUAUCCUUCUUUAAUGUUGAUGAACAUUUGAAGAGCUCGUAAAUGAACUAAUUUGUUUAUUUGGACAUGUCGGAUUUGUCUAUUUGAAUUUCUAAA